AACGAACGCUGGCGGCAUGCCUAACACAUGCAAGUCGAACGAGACCUUCGGGUCUAGUGGCGCACGGGUGCGUAACGCGUGGGAACCUGCCCUUAGGUUCGGAAUAACUCCCCGAAAGGGGUGCUAAUACCGGAUAAUGUCUUCGGACCAAUGAUUUAUCGCCUUUGGAUGGGCCCGCGUUGGAUUAGCUAGUUGGUAGGCUAAAAGCCUACCAAGGCGACGAUCCAUAGCUGGUCUGAGAGGAUGAUCAGCCACACUGGGACUGAGACACGGCCCAGACUCCUACGGGAGGGAGCAGUGGGGAAUAUUGGACAAUGGGCGAAAGCCUGAUCCAGCAAUGCCGCGUGAGUGAUGAAGGCCUUAGGGUUGUAAAGCUCUAUUACCCGGGAUGAUAAUGACAGUACCGGGAGAAUAAGCUACGGCUAACUCCGUG
rnacentral:rRNA from 1 species